rnacentral:rRNA from 1 species
GACGAACGCUGGCGGCGUGCUUAACACAUGCAAGUCGAACGGAAAGGCCCUGCUUGCAGGGUGCUCGAGUGGCGAACGGGUGAGUAACACGUGGGUGAUCUGCCCCUUACUUUGGGAUAAGCCUGGGAAACUGGGUCUAAUACUGGAUAGGACCAUGCUGUAGGUGGUGUGGUGGAAAGAUUAGUUUCGGUAAGGGAUGAGCUCGCGGCCUAUCAGCUUGUUGGUGGGGUAAUGGCCUACCAAGGCGUCGACGGGUAGCCGGCCUGAGAGGGUGGACGGCCACAUUGGGACUGAGAUACGGCCCAGACUCCUACGGGAGGCAGCAGUGGGGAAUAUUGCACAAUGGGCGCAAGCCUGAUGCAGCGACGCCGCGUGGGGGAUGACGGCCUUCGGGUUGUAAACUCCUUUCAGCCAUGACGAAGCCCUUGUGGUGACGGUAGUGGGAGAAGAAGCACCGGCUAACUACGUG